GAGGUUGUGGCUCAGUGGUAGAGCACUCGCCUAGCAUGUGCGAGGCCCUGGGUUCAAUCCUCAGCACCACA
rfam:Ictidomys tridecemlineatus contig103152, whole genome shotgun sequence.